CUGGAUGGUGUGCGUCCUUUAUGAAAUAAUGAGGGCCUAGCGUGGAGUCGGCGGGAGACACUCCUUUCAUCAGCGCGGCUGGAUAAUGGUUACCAUGGUGACCGAGGCCAUGGUGCACUGGCGCACAGAUGUGACCACCCUCCUUCUCCUCCUCCUCUUCCCCUCUCCUUGUCUCUCCAUCCUUGCCAAGCUGUUUGGAGAGUCAGUGGUCCAGGGCUGAGGGGAGGCAGAGUGGCACCCGAGGGCCAGAUAAGGCGGCUGCACCAGCGUGGCUCCCAUUCCACCGAGACAGAUAACAUGGCCGCCCGCGCCACAGCCUGUCCACCGCUCAAACCACACUCAGGUGAACACACCCAGGACAGAGAGAGAGAGAGAGAGAGAGAGACACAGAGAGAGAGAGAGAGAGAGACAGAGAGAGAGACAGACAUGGAAACCAAGAGAUGACAGGCUAUGUCUACAAUGCCAUGAAGGAGUAGUAGAAGACGAGUUACACUUCCUCACAGAGUGUAAAAAUUACACCCUCGUUAGGAGAAAAUUCUUUGAACUCAUUGCCAAGAUUGCUCCCCAAUUCCCCAUGCUACCUAAUAAAGGCAAGCUCCCAUAUUUGUUGGGAGGGCACAAUUGUGCGACAAUAGCAGUACAAUUCCAGACAGAGUGUCAAAAAUUGAGAAAGUGAGUCCUUUUCCUUCCUACAUUAAAUCUGUACAAUUAUACCACAUGUGUAAGCUUUG